rnacentral:siRNA from 1 species
CACAUGCAUCUGGAUCAUAUGAUC